GCCAAUGAAGAGAAUGCAGGCUGCGGACACUUCCAUGUUGGCUUCACUUUGCUCGACCCGAGCGACUUUUGGUUCAUGACAGAGACACUGACCACAUGUCAAGAGCUGUAGUUUGUGUCUUGGUCCCUAGGAGGAGCUCUGGACUUCUGUACCUGCAGACACAGGAUGGAGGAGGAGGCGUGAUCAGUCUGAGAGGAAUCCUGCUGCCUGUGCAUGUGAGGGACGGAAUCACAGCCGAGGUCCAUGUUGUCAUGUGACACGUCAAGUCACGCCACGGAAACUUGUACGAAUGAAGACAUGAAUGUGAACAUAUGAGAUUCUGCGUUCAUGCAGUCUCAACCCCACCUCCUGAUCUCACCACUCUACCAACCACACAUUCAUCUCCUUCUCUAUCUUCUUUCAUGACCAAGUUCUUUCCCUAAUAACCUCUGCCCGCCCCACCUCCUGCCCCCUUGACC